GUGUUGUAUGAAAGGAGAGAAGGUUAGCACUGCCCUUGACAAGGAUGGAAGAAGCUCUCAGGCCUGACAACAUGCAUAUGGUUAAGGCACUGCCACCUAUUUUGUGGCAUCUAACCAUUUUUUUUU